rnacentral:lncRNA from 1 species
CUCAGGAGUAGGUUUUUGAUAAAAGAGUAAGUUCAGCCCCCUUCCUCUCUGUUUCUCCUUUGAGUGUUCUCUUGCCAUUCCACCUUCUGCCAUGAAAUAAUACAACAAGAAGGCCCUCAUCAGAUGCCAAACAGAUGAUGGUGCCAUGCUCUUGAACAUCCCAGCCUCCAGAAUUAUUCAUCCUCUACUGAUUCCAGGAUUAGGACAUCAUCAUAACAUAGCAGGAAAUUCACAAUCCUAGAGAUGGGGGUAUGGUGAGAUGCAAGAGCAUUAGAGGACUAUGGAAAUUAUGGGAGCAUGACAUUCUGAAAUUGCACGACUAAGGAAUUGGAAAUAUUUCUCAGGACAUGAUGAUUAUCUGGACACUGGCAAUGAAUCUUGAUCAUUCACCUCGGUGGCUGAGCACCUGUGAACAAGGCCCAGCUCACUGAUGAAGUUUCCCGUGGGCCAACUAGCUUCAAAGACGCGAAUACCGUCUGCACCGUGACGGCAGAUGACACUCCUAAUUCUAAGCAACCAGCUCACAAAGAAAAUAUCCCCAAAUACAGCAGCAGUCUUCAAGACAGGAAAGGAACCAAGAGUGAGCAGGCAGUGUUGUAGAAACUAAGGAGAGGAUUUUUUAGAAGCGCUAAAAAAUAGCCCAGUAGGGAAAAAAGCAUCGUCAACAUGAUCAAGGCUUUUGGAAAGGAGGAUGAAGACUCAGGACAGUCAUUAGCUGCCUUCAACGAAACACUUUCAGCAGAUGGAUGGGGAUGGAAGUCAGACCACAAGGGCAGAGAAGACAGUGGGAAGGAAAGAGUAACCUCCCCAAAUGGUGGGCAG